UCUCCGUAGGUGAACCUGCGGAGGGAUCAUUACUGAGUGAGGGCCUUCGGGCUCGACCUCCAACCCUUUGUGACCACAACUUGUUGCUUCGGGGGCGACCCUGCCGUUUCGACGGCGAGCGCCCCCGGAGGCUUUCAAACACUGUAUCUGUGCGUCUGAGUGAUUAAUCAAUCAAUUAAAACUUUCAACAACGGAUCUCUUGGUUCUGGCAUCGAUGAAGAACGCAGC
rnacentral:misc_RNA from 1 species